GUCCAUAUCACGUUAAAACAUUGGUUCACGUACAAUCACCGAAGUUAAGCAACGUCGAGCCUUGUCAGUACCUAGAUGGUUGACCUUUUGGGAAUAGCUUGG